rnacentral:rRNA from 1 species
UUCUUGGAUUUAUUGAAGACUAACUACUGCGAAAGCAUUUGCCAAGGAUGUUUUCACCCNUUUAAGAACGAAAGUUAGGGGAUCGAAGACGAUCAGAUACCNCUCNNUAGUCUUAACCAUAAACUAUGCCGACUAGGGAUCGGAUGAUGUUAAUUUUUUAAUGACUCA